rnacentral:piRNA from 1 species
UGUCAGGACCUGAUGAGGGCCAGGGAUGGUA